rnacentral:rRNA from 1 species
GGGGAAUCUUGGGCAAUGGGCGAAAGCCUGACCCAGCCAUGCCGCGUGUGUGAAGAAGGUCUUCGGAUUGUAAAGCACUGUAAGUAGGGAGGAAGGGUUGUAGAUUAAUACUCGGAAGUUUUGACGUUACCGACAGAAUAAGCACCGGCUAACUUCGUGCCAGCAGCCGCGGUAAUACGAAGGGUGCAAGCGUUAAUCGGAAUUACUGGGCGUAAAGCGCGCGUAGGUGGUUCGUUAAGUUGGAUGUGAAAGCCCCGGGCUCAACCUGGGAACUGCAUCCAAAACUGGCGAGCUAGAGUACGGUAGAGGGUAGUGGAAUUUCCUGUGUAGCGGUGAAAUGCGUAGAUAUAGGAAAGAACACCAGUGGCGAAGGCGACCACCUGGAUUGAUACUGACACUGAGGUGCGAAAGCGUGGGGAGCAAACA